GAAGGAGUGAGAUGGACUUCUAAGUAGGUGCAGGACCUAUAUGGUUUGCACUUAGGGAGUGGAAACAACAACCAGGACUCCAAUGGAGGAGUAAAGAGGGUGAGGAUUGGGCUCAUGCAGCUGGAUGUAUUUGCUCUUGUAGCCAAAUCGAGGAGAGGAUAAAAGGCUAGGUCCAUGGACGGGAACCCCAUUUCAGAGCGAUGGAUCUGAUCCUGCUGGGUGCUUUGCUCUCCAACUCCUGCAUACCUCUUUCUGGAGGGACCUUCUCCAUCGACCAGCCUCUGUUCCAAAGCUACAUGCAAGAGGCCACCAAUGGCACCAGCGACCAAACAAAGAGGCACUGGAGCUACUAUGUGCUGAUUGUUGUGGCCCUCACUGGCUCCUUGGUCUUCCUCUGCUUCUGUUCUCCUGCCCUUAAAUGGCUGCUUUCCCGCUGCCUCCGCUCCAAUGGAGAUGAGGCAAGGACUCCCUUGAGGGACGCUCGCUGCAGUCGAUGCUGGCCCCCAAACUAUGGCACCCUCUCUGAGACUGUGGUCCCACCGCCCCUCAUUCCCAAGGACACCCAAGAACACACUGGAGGCCAAGAAGCCCCAGGAGAAGUCCCCAAGGCUUCCGUGGAGAAGCGUGGAGACCAACCUGGAACUGAUUCAGAGAUCACCUUGGAAGUGGAAGAUGCUGAAGGCCAAGAAGCCCCAGGAGGUCCCAAAGCUCCAGUGGAGAAGCGUGGAGACCAACCUGGAGCUGAUUCGGAAGUCACCUUGGAAGGGGAAGAUGCUGGAGGCCAAGAAACCCCAGGAGGCCUGAAGGCUCCAGUGGAAAAACGUGGAGACCAACCUUGAGCUGAUUCAGAAGUCACCUUGGAAGGGGAAGACCUGGCCUAAGCAGCGGUGGCCCCAGUAGCCCUCCGUCAAGCAAACCUUGCUCUGUACAAUCAUCAUUUUUAGGCUGUAUGACAUUUUAAUCUCAUAUUAUCGAAUAGGGUGGCUAUUCUUUUAAAUGCAACAACUUCCCCAAAUUUUCCUUUUACAAACACCAUGCUGGCAUUACACCCAUCGCCUUUUGGUGCCAGGAUGAGUAGCUUGUAACUCUCUAUAUGUUGGACAGCAAGUCCCAUCAGCCCCCAUCAGUCAAUGGUGAAGGAUGGUGGGAGUUAAAUACUACCAACAGCUAGAAUGCCUUUACUUUGUACCAAAUGCUCCCCAACUUUAGAGCAGGGUAACCAAGUGUAGCUUUCCAAACAUUGGACUCUAAUUCCCAGCAUUUCUGGAAUGGUUGGGACUGGGGUUUGCAAUCUAUAUAGUCCCCAUCCUGUUACAGAGACUUACCCCAAUAUUUGGCUACAGCGCCCAGCAUUCCAAACUUCUGGUUGUUGUAGUCCAACUGUUCAAUUGCUGGCACAGAGACUAUUUCUCCAAAGAGCUUCAUAGCCAAGACCAGACAAGAAAUUAUAUCAUUGAAACUCCCCAUGAAACAUCUGAGCUGGCAAUACCUGGGCAUCCUGAAUCCUAGAGCAAUGCAAUUUGGGUUGCUUUACCUACAAAAUAAUUCUAGUCCAACUGAUAUUUCCUUUUGAACUCUGAAUAUUUAGAUUGUUCAUAUCUCUGGAGGCAAAACUAAGGGUAAAUGUGCCUUAUGGAGUUUCUAUGUUACAUGGGGUUGCCUUUUUAAACAAACUUUAAAAGUUCCACAAUCACUUCUGUGAACUUGAACCCAAAGAAGCCAUAAUCACUUUCUGAACACACUACUUUGAAGACACAAGAAGAAUCUGUAUUCUUCCCACAGACACACAACAUUAUGUUUUCAAAUCUAGGCACCAAAGUAUCUGAAAUAAAGUAUGUAUCAUUUUGCAAUGGGUCUCCUGAAAGAGUUUGUUCAAAGUGAGGUUUCAUCGUCGGUUGGUCUUAUGCCUUUGCUGCAAUUGUAGUGCUGGCUCUACUAUCUGGGAUGUGGCCAUAGUUUUCCCCAGAACCCAAGCCUUGCUGGGUUACUGUAGCUAUAUAGGAUGCUGUGGAAGCAUGGGAGGUGUGAUUUUGUAAGGUCUUGAGUCUUCUCUGUCAAGCUACAACUCCCAAGACUCCAUGACAUUGAGCCAACUGAGUUAAAGUGGUGUCGAACCAUAUUAAUUUCACAGUGCAGGUGCACCCAGGAUAGGCAAAACAGACAUGGAGUUUCAUGUGGCAGCCAAGACUGUAUGGGUGUCUCCAAAGUCCCUGGAUGAGUUGUUUUCUGGCUGCUGAGGAUGGUCAAUUGCCUAGCAGGCAAUCUACAAAUGCAGCAAUUCGUUUUUAAAGAUUUCCUGCAUUGUUUAGCAUUUGGGAUGGGGUGGGAAUACCUAUUUUGAAAACCAGAUAUGAGCAUGUAGUUUUGCUUAAUACUUUCCUCAUUUGGGAGGGGUGUGUGCUACACUGUGUGGUCACCCAGAGGGUCCCAGCAAGCCUGUAGCCAAAGGGCGGUUUAGGGGUUCAAACCACCCCCCAAAAUUUUCAGAUUAAAAAAAAAACUGGUUUACUCAUGAAUUUUAACUGGUUAACCAAAUCCCCACACCAAGU
rnacentral:lncRNA from 11 species